ACCAAUCUAUUAUCUCUCUAAAACACGGUGGUGGUGUUUGGGAAAAUCAACUAAAGGGGAAACUGAGACAAAUUCUUGCUACUUGGCUUUUAAGGAGGAAGCCUGACGUUUUCCAGGUGUGUGUCUAGCCACGGUUUCCUGAAGCAAUGAGCUCAGAUCUAAUAUUCAGGCUCCGGUGUACUCUGCAAAUGGGGAUUGUUUUGCCUUUCUCGAUACUCUGUUACCUUUUCUUCCCAAAGGUAAUCACAUUGCUUACCUGUCCCUUGCCUUUCCUUACCUGCAUGUGGUAGAAAGAGGACAGACAGAAAAGCUGAGAGUGCUCCAGUCUGCAGAAGGGAGGCACAUGAGUUACAACUGAACCUUCACAUAAAUAACCUUUGCGUCUUCCCCAGAGUUUUGGGUCCCAAGAAUAGAAGAAAGUCAUUCUCCAUUCCUGCUUCCUGCGAACUAUCCAUUUAUCUCUUGCAGAUACUCAUUGGUACACUCUCUCUCCCUCAGCCUUUCCUUUACCCAUCCCCAAGCUUCAGGCUCUUCCCAAAGACACCUUUCAUCUUCCCUCAUUUGAAGGUUCAGCUGCAACUCAUUUUGUGAAUGGAAAAGAUUGGGAGGUUUGCAGGUUAGCAGUGAGGUAGUGCAGUCUGCUGCAGCCAAAUUAAUGCUGGCCGCCAUGUAGUUUCCCAUAUUAAACAAUGCCCACCAAGAUCCCGUCUGCUGUAAAACAAUUGGUCUCUGAAGCCCAGUAUUCAUCUUCCAGGGUUGCUGGGAGAUAAUAAAUGGGUAAUAUUCCGGCGAUAAUGGUAAUGGAGUCACGGCUCAGAGCUAAUAUUAUGGCAAAGUAGUAAUUAUUUCAACAGUAAACAAGGGGAUGGUUGAGUUGCCGACAGAAUUCCAGCCUGUUGAAAUGGUUCAGUUAAUUUGCUUGGAGCCAAGGCCUGGGACUGGCUGCAAGAGCAGGGAGAAAGUUUCCAUCGCUGGCCCUAGUGCUCCAAAUUCCCCAGUGACCUCUGAUUUCCUCUGGCUACGAAGCAACAGAAAUCUCCAAGCUUCUCCAGGUCUAACUUCUGAUUGAUAGGCAAUGACAGGGAUGGUGGCUUCAGGCUUCUGCCUGAAGAUCCUCUGUCUUCUUCCCUGAAGAGCCUCAGCCUGGGUCACUGAGACUAAGGGGGCCUUUAUGAAGAAGUAAGAAUGUUAACACAUGGGCGAGAAAACUGAAGAGUUUUUCAAGGUGAGCUUCUCCAAACAAUUGCCUUCAUUUUUACAUAAUUUGUGAACAACAGCAGACAUGGCAGUGAGCUAAUUCUCGGGACCAGCUUCAGUGAUUUGUGAUUAUGAUGGUUAUAUGAACUCUGAUAAAAAUGUGGGGCUCAGCAAAAGUGCCUGAGAUUCAGAAGGAAAAUGAUGAUAAGACUUGAUCAAACUCUGGAGGUUACAAAGGCUCCCUUGUAACCUUACCUUUCAGGACACCUUGUCAUUAGUCAGAAGAAGAUGAACUCCAUAGAAAAAAAGCAAGACAUUAUAUACACAGACAUUGUGCCAUUUCUUCCUACAAUAUGCCCGUUCCCAGUCAUUUGUUGCUAAGUAUGAAGUCAAGUGUCCCCAGCAGAAGCCCAGAGCAGACAGUCUUUGAUUUUCUAUGUGACCUGGCCAUUGUCUGGGUUCAAGCAAGUAGGUCUCAUCAGGGUUUUAUAUGAGGUUAGAAGUCUGAACCUGAGAUCCCUGCCAAGGCUUCCUGGUUCAAAAAUGCAACAGCUGAGUAUGGAUGUUGGGCUCUAAGUCUUCAUUUUUCUACUGGAAUCUCAGAUAGUCUAUGCAUAUGGUAAUCUUAGUAUCAUUGAGUUUCACAUGCUGGCCAAAGCCUCCUUAGUGACCAGCAAAAAAAUCAUAUAACUAAAUCAGCUGCUGGAAUUUUAUAAGCUGCCUCGGAUGUCACCCCCUGUCACCAUCACCUGUCUCACCAUUACCUGACUCCAUUCAUCACUGAAGCCAGGUCAUAGUUCACAGAAGGGGAACGAGACUGCAGGCAAUGGAGGGGGGGUGUCUCAAAAAGUUCUUGGACUUUUUAUAUUUCCUCAAUAGCAGCACAGCAUGAAAACCCACAGUGACUUCUUUUUCUUUUCAUAACAGCUUCCUGAGGUCUGUCUCCAGUUUUGAUUGAGAAUGUUUUUAUUACUCUGUCCAUAUCUGAGUUUAUUCUGGAAUAUCUAAGUCUCCCCCACCAUUAUUUUAUCACCAUUAUACUAGCAAUAAACACCACUGCUAUUAAUUAAAUGUUCUGUUAUGCUUGUAAUUGAGAAAGAAUAAUUAUGCAGUCCAACUUUUAAAGAUAUAUACUGCUCCCCAUUGACAAAUGAAUAAAUGUGGAGACAAAUGCUAAAUUCUAAGCCCUGAGCACAGGACGGUUUGACUCCACCGAUCUUUCUAAAGGGAUGCUUUCCUUCCAAAUAAAAUUAGUUUCUAUAGACACCCUGAGGAAGAAUGAAAAAUGGCUACAAAUUAUUAUUAUGAGACUUUGGCUUCAGUGUUUCUAUCUGUAGAAUGGAGAUUAUAAUGAUACUUACCUCAUUAUCAAGAUUAAAUGUGUUCAUAGCUAUAGAGCCCUUUGCAGAGUUGGCAGAGAAUAAAUCCUCAAGUAAAGUUAGUUAAUGGUGUUUUUUUAAUAACUCCAAUGAGCAUAAAAUCUCUUUCCAAGCAUAGAUUUUAUUUUUGUAAACAGCCAUUUGGAUUAAAGUCUCAUGAAUUAGAUGAGUGUGAUAAAAUUAUAGCAUAUACAUGUCAAAAACUUUGAAGGCUGGGUUUUUAAAGCAGCUCCAAGACAUUUCCAGGAGAUGCAUUUCCAGAAGGUUCUCAGUAAUGGUAGCAUCAAUGACAACCUCCCCCACCAGGUGGUGGCUAAGUAGUUCUGAUACUUAUCAAAAACACCAUCUUGCUUAGAUGGACUAUAAAUGCAAGAAAGAAUACUCAUUAACUGUCAAAUCUCUUAGGAGAUUCAUUUUUUAAAGAGCCUAAUGCUAGGAUAAUAUUCAAACCUGUCUAGAAUUUUGUGAAACUCUCAUGGAAGCCUGCCCAACUUUAGGCUGUCAGGUGGCAAUUCUUCUAAGUUGGGUGGUCCCUGAGUCCCAUGGUGGCUCAGCAUACAUUACUUUAGCUAACUAAUAAAAAGACCAAAUGAUUCUUUCAGGAUAUGUAAGUUUUUAAGUGGUGCAUAAAAGGAGGAAGAAAUGAAAGGCAAAUCUAUCUUGAUAGUUCCCUCUCUUACCUCAGUGCAACCAGAACACUAGAUUCUUGGUGCCUGUUAAUUCUAAAACGUUACCCUUUUCAAUUCAGAAUGGGUAUGACCUAGCAGAAAGAAAAUACUGGAGGCUAGAGAGACAGAGGAACUGUCUAUACACACACACACACACACACCCCAAACAUAAAAAGCACACAAAAUACACAUGCACAGACGCAUACACACAAAGUGCACAAAACACCUAUGGACAGACAUCAAACACACAAAAUCUAGUGCAAAUACAUGCACACACACACACACACACACACACACACACACAAGCAAAAUACACCUGCACAUGCACAUGUACAUAUACACACUAAACACACAAAUCCCAAGUACCUACUCAAGCAGACACACAAACACACAUAACACAUACACAUACACAUACCCCUGUAGCUCAAUGUGUGUUUGUUAUGACAUACUGUGCUUGUUUAUACAUCAUAGCAGGUAUUCAGCAGUUCUCAUCUCUUCAAAGACUGAGAGACUACUGCAAUAGUGGCUGAAGGAGGUGGCGCAAGGCAGACCAUCCCUUCAUUAAAAGGAACAAUAUAAGUUGACUUUCAGAUUUCAGAUCCUGGUUUUGACCCAAACAUUGUCAUACUAAUAACAAGCAGGAUGACCACGACUGCUCCUAAGAAACCUUAGAAGAAUAAGGAUUCUAUGAGUCACAAAGAAAGGGAGCACAGAGUAAACCAAAUGUUGGCCUCCAUAAAAGCUAAAAGAGCCUAAGGUAUCGCACACUUUCUGGCCAUUUACCAGUAGCUUAGGCUUCCUGAAUUCAGUGGCUAGUUACUUCCAGUCACAUUUCUUCAGAAUUUAAAAUUGAAAUCUAUUUCUGAAGGUUUUGCUUAUAACUAUAUGAUACUUGUAAACAUAUAUUUGAAGAGCAGAAAGCUAUAAAGAAACUUGUAAUUAGCAUCUGUGCCUCCAACAGUUAGCAAGUCACUAAUUCUUUUUUUUCAUGUAGAGCUCAAAGCUCACUUUUCAAAGUGAGUGAUAAGACUACAAAGUCGAUCUCAAUAGAAAUCUCCAUGGCAGACUUAUUCAUCUCUCAUGCUGGGGAAACUGUCAUUAGGCUCAUGUAUUCAACUCGCCUCCUUCCCUGGGACCACAUCCUCUGCAGUGUUUGUAAAAUGCUUAGGUGAACUUUCCAAUUAAUUGCACUGUGUAAAUAAAUGUAAGACUUAACAAAAGAUAAUGAGAACAAAUGAUAAUUGCUGUUGUUAUAACAACGGGCAUAAACACUGGUUCCAUUAUUUGCUUUUUGAGUUUGUGUUGCAAAAAUGCAAGAGCAUCUUUGUCUUGGAUGGCUGCUUGGUAGCAAGAUCACACCUCUUCUCUCAGCCUCCUUGACUUUCUUGGCAUUGCCCCAGAGCACAUGCAUGAUUAAUGUAGAAAUUUCAACAAAGGACAAUGGUGCCUACUGUCUUCAUGUUUACAAAGCACCUGCAAUGUUCAGUUACUAUCCUGCCUAUUCUCACCCUAUUUUACAGAUGAACUAACAGAGGUUCAGAGAGGUUAAUUAGUUUGCUAAGGGUCACCCACUGAGUAAUUGACAGAUGAGAGUCCAACCAAGUGUUGUGACCAAAGUGAUAUUUGCUCCCUAGGAUCCCUAGCCCCAGUUAGAAUGUGAAAGCUUGGAUGUUAAGUUCAAGGUCCAAUUGGGGUAACCAAGCUUUGUGAGUGCCUGGGGGAAACCCUUCCUUUUCUGCCAGCGGGCCACAUCCCAGUUUUGUAACUGAGUCCCAGACAACUGGUGUUGCUAGUUUCCCAGCACACAUUUUUGCUUUCCUGACUCCUUUCUUUCCCAUAAUGUCUCCCAACAUGGUGUACCUCAUCAGAUGGUAAAAUGACUUACACUCACUCAGGAAACUUGGCAAGCACCGCCCGUCUUUUAUUUGCACAGUGGGAAGUUUAUAGUCAGUAUGAAUUGUAACAGCUCUGCAGGGCUGACUUCUCAACACUUCCCAGCUGCAGAGCUCUCUGAGGCGAGACAUGGCUCGAGAGACACCACGCAGCAGGGACUUUCUGAUUCCCCUUUGCAACUGACUUGAAUCUUGAAAGCGGUACUGCUGUGAACCUCCUGGCUCUCUCCUUGCCUUUCUCACUAGCAGCCAGGACUUCCAAGGAAGCUGGCAGCAAGGCUCGACCUUCUCCCACUGGGAGCCCUAUGGCCCCAUCUAUUAGCUAGGUAGAGAAGAAAAUAGUGUGAGGAAGCAUCCUCAGAGCUUGCAGGGAAGUUUCAGAUGAGUACGGCAGCAAGGUUUCAUUACCAAGGCCUGUGGGCAGCACCUGCCCUGUUUCCUCCCCACAUAGUGUUUGUUUUAAUAGGACAGAAAUACCUUGUCGGUCCUUAGACGUCAAUAAGGUGGUAGUCUAGAUUAUAGAUAAAUGCACACAAUGUAGUGCAGGAUGUUAUUUAUCUAGAAAUGUGAACACCUUAUCUUAAUUCAGUGCCUUUGGAGCAGAAACAUGAUUGUGUUUAUUUCUGUUUUAAUUUGUGAAAAUGUGACCAAAGCACUGCUUUCAGAUAAUUUUUAGUUAAUUUCUUUAACCUUCAUUAAACCUCCGUUUCUAUGCAAGUUAGAGGCAGCAAUUUUUGAGCGUGUCAUUUUACCAGUGAAAGGAAGGAUGUUAAGAGACAUGCAGACAUUUAUUACCUCUAUUUAAUGCACUUUCAGUACAUAUUGAAUACACCUGAGGAGUUAUGGAUCUGGUCCUAGGGGAAGCAGGGUUUGGGGGCAAGUUCACAUGCAGUGGUAAAUCUUGUGCCAAGGACUCUAUUAACAAUAUUAACCAAAUUUUGCAGUAGAUAAAAUGUGGUACAAUGGAAAUACAUUUAAGAUGGGCACUCAUGCCAUAGCUUCUCUUCAAAGUCAUUUUAUUUAUUGUUAGCAACAGUGUGUUAAUACUUACAAUUAAGAUGAAAUACUGUCAAGGAUGAGCGAUUAAAAAUUCUAUUAUUAUUGUUGUAAUAAUUACCAAUUCCACUCUUCACUUGACCACUAUUGUUAUCCCUAUUUUGCUGAUAUUUACGGAGGAUUUACUUUGUACCAGACACAGGAUACAUGUUACUUGUGUUACCUCAGGAAAUGCAUACCACAUUAUGUGCCUUCUGCCUUGGGUAUCACCCUUCAUAAGGUGACUAGGUGAGAAGAUUAAUGCAGAUGGAAAGAGCCCACAGUGACAUUGCUUAGGAAGUGGCGCGAUCAGAAUUCAUGUCUUGAAGCUCAGUGGUGAUGCAGCUCUACAAAGCUCCGAGAGUUCAGCCUAUAUUCAUGAAAGAAAGCUACCCACGUCUAUAGACAGUUUCAAGUGCUACAGUUCUAUCCCAGCCCUGUUUCUUCAUAGCUUACUAACAUUGGCAAAUUAUUUAAAACUUCCAUGCAUGUUUCUUGCUUUCCUUAUUCUCUCUCCUAUAGUGUUUCUAAAGAUUAGAUACGCUAAUACAAGUAGAGUGCUGGUCUGCAAAGCAGAUAAAGGUCCUUAUUUGUACCAGCUUUUAGUAUUGUCACUGACAUCACUGUCUUCCCCCACUCAAUAUAUCCCAUCCAUCCUUGCAUUCAAAUAGAAGACUGAUGUGUUGGUGCCAAGCAACCGUGACAUUUUACUAUGCCACAACAGGACAACUUCUAAGUAACUCAUAUGUGUUUUUCCUUUCCUUGAAAUGAGCUCAGACACAGGUUUGUAAGCAAUCACUCCUUUGAAGAUCACUGCCUUGCUCAAAAUACAGUGCAGCAUUGGAAAACAACAGGGAUGAAGACGGGACACUCCUCUCCUGCUUUAAGAAGUGACUGGUGACAGACUUGAAUCAGAGCACCUGGAGUCACACUCAAAAGACAUUCACGUUAACUGAUCUUUCGGUAUUCCUUCGUAGAAGGUCCAGAGACUCAGGCUUGCAAAACUCUGAGGGCUCAAUAGACCUUCAUGAGGCUCCUGCCCUACUUGGAGUCCAAUAAGAGGUAAACAAUUAUCUAGGGUUGGAACUUCUUGAAGGUGUAGCCACAUACCUGGUAGACACAGAAGGGCUUUUCCAGUGCUAUGUGUGAGUGGCCUGUGUUCCUGAAAAUGAUCCCAAUAAACUCACUGGUUCAAGAAA